rnacentral:tRNA from 1 species
UGGAGCAUCCAGAGAGAAUCGAACUCUCAUCUACUGGGUGGAAGCCAGUCAUAAUAUCCGCUAUACGAUGGAUGC